rnacentral:rRNA from 1 species
GCGAAAACUUUACAAUGCUGGCAACAGCGAUAAGGGAACCUCGAGUGCCAGGUUACAAAUCUGGCCGUCGAGAUGCCUAAAAAGCAUUUCAUAGCAAGGGCCGGGCAAGACCGGUGCCAGCCGCCGCGGUAACACCGGCGGCUCGAGUGGUAACCGUUAUUAUUGGGUCUAAAGGGUCUGUAGCCGGCCGGAUAAGUCUCUUGAGAAAUCUAGCAGCUUAACUGUCAGGCUUUCAGGAGAUACUGUCUGGCUCGAGGCCGGGAGAGGUGAGAGGUACUUCAGGGGUAGGGGUGAAAUCUUGUAAUCCUUGAAGGACCACCAGUGGCGAAGGCGUCUCACCAGAACGGACCUGACGGCAAGGGACGAAAGCUAGGGGCACGAACC